rnacentral:rRNA from 1 species
UUGUUGCGGUCAAAAAGCUCGUAGUUGGGUUUCUGUGGUAGGCAGCCGGUCCACACUAUGUGUGAGUAUCUGGUUCGGCUACUGCAUCCUCCUGAGGAACGUUGGUGCGCUUCACUGCGUGGCACGGUAUUCAGGACUCUUACUUUGAGGAAAUUAGAGUGUUCACGGCAGGCGUUUGCCCUGAAUAUGUUAGCAUGGAAUAAUGAUAUAGGACCUGCGUUCUAUUUUGUUGGUUUCUAGGACGCAGGUAAUGGUUAAUAUGGACAAUUGGGGGCACUCGUAUUAAGACGUCAGAGGUGGAAUUCUUGGAUUGUCUUACGACGAACUACUGCGAAAGCAUUUGCCAAGGAUGUUUUAAUUGAUCAAGAACGAAAGUAAGGGGAUCGAAGACGAUUAGAUACCGUCGUAUUCUUUACCAUAAACUAUGCCAACUAGAGAUUGGAGGU